rnacentral:rRNA from 1 species
UACGAGGGGGGCAAAUGUUGUUCGGAAUCACUGGGCGUAAAGGGAGCGUAGGCGGGUUUCUAAGUCAGGUGUUUAAUCCCGGGGCCCAACCCCGGACAGGCACUUGAAACUGGAAAUCUUGAAUAGUGGAGAGGUCAGUGGAAUUGGGGGUGUAGCGGUGGAAUGCGUAGAGAUCCCCAAGAACACCAGUUGCGAAGGCGGCUGACUGGACACAUAUUGACGCUGAGGCUCGAAAGCAUGGGGAGCAAACAGGG